UUCUGCUCUAAUUUUGGUGAUCGUGCAUCUGAAUUGUGUUUCUGAAGAGAUCAGUGGCAAAACUUCCUCACGUUGGUCUCAUCAGGUUUGUUCACGGCACAUUUAUUUAAGAAAUAGUAUGCCAUGGAACUUAGUAGAUAGAUAAAUAUUUUCAUCUUCUAUUCAUUUUUAUUGAAAAUGGACUGGAAAUUUCAAACUAGUUCUUUAGUUUUUUGCUUUUGAGUUCGAAACACAAAUUGAAUAUAAAACAAAUGACACACGAUAUUGUGUCUCAGACUGGUUUUUGGAUCUAAAUUAUAGGUUUAUAUUUCAUUGAAGAUCAAUAUCCAGUAUUUCUGUGUGCAGCCUUCUGUUCAUGAUUUUUUUAUGCGAAUGGCCUUUCUGUGAAGCACAAAAAGAUCUAAAUGAGGUGCCUUCUCUUAGUGCCAAACUACGUGCCAAUGGCCCAACCAAGGUGUCCUAUUGUGGUUUCUUGAUUAUCUUUUAGGUAGACUUUAAGUAUUUACGGCAAUACCAUACAUUAUAGUUUUUAGGCUGUGGGUAAUCGAUUUGUGGUUAUCCUUUUUGUUAUGUAAUGCAUGAUCAUACUCUCCAGUUAUUCGAACUAUCAAUUUAUAUAGGUAACUUUUUCCUUGUAAAUCAUUCAUUUGGAAAAAAGGUGCACUCCUCUGUUAAUAUUUGUCUCAUUACAGCAGGUGCCUUUGAGUCAAAAUCGUCUGAUUUUAAGGGAGUCUCAGGUAUAUAUUUUCCUUUCCUUUUUUUAUUCAUUUAUUUUUAUUUUUUUGUAAUCUUAUUAGUCCAGAAAUUAAAAUUCAGCCAAAGAAGGAUAAUGUGGAAAAUUUCCAUGACAAAAUAGGACUACUUACGCGGUACAUUCUUUCAGGGACGACACAAAUGAGGAAAGACAUAAUUUCAAUUUUCAGGCGUGGCAAUAUUUAGAGUUAUGUUGACGUCUUACAAAAUAAAUGAUGCGUCUUGUACAUGUUAAUAGCAGAACCUAUGAAUGCCAAAACUUGUAGGUUGAUUCAGAAGACAUCCUAGCAGAAAAAGCGAUAGACCAUAUAUAGAGUUUUUCCUUCUAUUGAAACCAACACUUGCUCCACUUAUUCAGUUAUGGUGUUACAUUUCAUUUGCAUUCUAGCUCUAUUCUCAUCAUUUUGGUGUCUGAUUCUUGCAGGUGUUGUUGAUGGAAAAAAUACGCCCGAAGAUGAUGCUAUUCCAGGUUAUAUUAGUGGUGCCAUUACUAGGCACUGUGCUUGUGACUCAUUCCCAAAAUGUUGUGCAUUAUUCUCAAACUAGGCUCCUAGUUGUUCCUGAAAUUUGUCCUGAAACUAUAUGAUGCAGGAGUCUUAAAAGUAGGAAAAUAACUAGCGGAAGCAACAGCUGCCACAAUUGCUUAAUUACUGUGAGUUUAGCCGAAAUGUGUUAUUUUCUGUUGCUUUUAUGUGCAGGGUAAUUUGAUUCUUUCAGAUAUAGGCUUGGCUGAGCCCGAGAAACAGAGUAUAUCAUGCUGCUCUUAAUGGUAACAACAGCAUGCCUACUGUUUUGCAUCAGAAAGACGAUUGAUAAUAUUCAUGGCCUCACUCUGAAAAGUUAUAUAGUCUUGGAUCCUUGCUACUGUUAGUGUUGCUACUGAUUAUGGUGGUUUCCACCAUACUUCUUUAACUUUCUUAUGAAUAAACGGGUGGCCAUUAAUUAUAAUAUGAUUU
rnacentral:lncRNA from 1 species